GACCUGGUGGUGCAGUGGUCAGCACGUCUGCAUACUGUUAGGGAGUUACCAUUUGGAACAUGAUGCAGGAAAUCCUCGUUCGACUCGGGGUCGGGUCA